AUUGAACGCUGGUGGCAUGCCUUACGCAUGCAAGCCGAACGGCAGCAUGGGUCCUUGCACCUGAUGGCGAGUGGCGAACGGGUGAGUAAUACAUCGGAACGUACCCGGAAGUGGGGGAUAACGUAGCGAAAGUUACGCUAAUACCGCAUAUUCUGUGCGCAGGAAAGAGGGGGAUCGCAAGACCUCUCGCUUUCGGAGCGGCCAAUGUCAGAUUAGCUAGUUGGUAGGGUAAAAGCCUACCAAGGCGACGAUCUGUAGCGGGUCUGAGAGGAUGAUCCGCGACAAUGGGACUGAGUCGCGGCCCAGGCUCGUACGGGAUGCAGCAGUGGGGAAUUUUGGACAAUGGUGGUAACCCAGAUCCAGCCAUGCCGCGUGAGUGAAGAAGGCCUUCGGGUUUUAAAGCUCUUUCGGCCGGGAAGAAAUCGCACAGGCUAAUACCUUGUGUGGAUGACGGUACCGGAAUAAGAAGCACCGGCUAACUACGUGCCAGCAGCCGCGGUAA
rnacentral:rRNA from 1 species